GGACAGCUUUACUCUUCUCAUAUUUCUUUUUCUGCAUGAGGCAAUGAUGUAAAACUGUUUUUCAUCAGUGGAUUUUCUCUCUGCAGUUGACAACACAGAGUGGGUCACUGACCUCUGUUCGUUCUUCCAGACGUUCCCUCCAGUGCCCUGUGUACUGCUGGCACUAUGACAAUCACUCUGAGAUCAAUUGGACACAAAGCAUUCGUGGACAGGGAAAGAAAGGGAGAGUUGGGAGAGACGCUCGGACGGAUUGUUUGGGAGCUGAUGUGCAUCUGUCUGAACAGCUGGAGCUCACUAAACUGAAGGGGCUGCACAUUGUCUUCACUAGACGCAGGGUUUUGCUGAUGUCUGCAUAUGGGUAAAGAUGUCCUGGAUCCAGAGCUCUGAGUCGUCAUCGUGAGCACUGUGGUGAUUCCCAGGGCAACACGGGCAGGAGCGGCAUCCAUGUUGAUCCAGAAGGAGACCCAGGACAGGAUGACAAUGAGCAGGCUGGGAAUGUACAUCUGGAUCAGGAGCUGUUGCAUCGAACGUGACAGAAAUAAUGUCACUUUGUGCUUUUAACAUGAAAUGAUACAGGCUAUAGCGCGUACUGGAUAUUUGAAGAGCACAAGCUACGAGCACAGUACAAGGCUGACCGGACAGGGACUUUUUUAUACGGACAUAUGGCCUGACAGCAUGUCAUCUGGCAGUUCAGAGUUCACCUUUUUUUCUCUAGUAAGAGAGAUCAUGUUCAUUUAUCAUAAAUGUGUUUUUAUGUCUUUUUUUACAUAUGAGUGUCUGUCCUAUAUUGACUGUUGUUGCUUGUUGAUUUACAUAUAUCCUAAUCAAGCUGGCUAAGCUGGUUUUACUAAACUGCGUGAAUGGUUUGAAAUAGUUUUAGAAACAUCAGUUAGAUAUGUUGCAGUCGUAUGCCAAUAUCUUCCAUCAAAAGUGUGUGCAAGCGCAAAAGCUGUCAAUGAGUUUCGUCAUUUUCGGCUACAUUUACAUAUGCCAGGUGUUUUGAUCAAAAGUGACCCGCAUGACAUUCGCUAAUUUAUUGUCUGGCAAUCAAACCCACGCUCUUGGCAUUGUUAGCAUCACGUUUUUUUCUU